rnacentral:rRNA from 1 species
AGCGAACGCUGGCGGCAGGCUUAACACAUGCAAGUCGAGCGGGCACUUUCGGGUGUCAGCGGCGGACGGGUGAGUAACGCGGGGGAACGUGCCCUCUGGUUCGGAAUAACUCAGGGAAACUUGAGCUAAUACCGGAUACGCCCUUUUGGGGAAAGGCUUGCUGCCGGAGGGUCGGCCCGCGUCUGAUUAGCUAGUUGGUGCGGUAACGUCUCACCAAGGCGACGAACAGUAGCGGGUCUGUGAGGAUGGUCAGCCACACUGGGACUGAGACACGGCCCAGACUCCUACGGGAGGCAGCAGUGGGGAAUAUUGGACAGUGGGCGCAAGCCUGAUCCAGCCAUGCCGCGUGAGUGAUGAAGGCCUUAGGGUUGUAAAGCUCUUUUAUCCGGGACGAUAAUGACGGUACCGGAGGAAUAAGCCCCGGCUAACUUCGUG